GAGGGUAUAGCGCAGUGGUAGAGUGCAUGCCUAGCAUGUAGGAGGUCCUGGGUUCAAUCCCCAGCACCUCCA
rnacentral:tRNA from 1 species